UCAUAAUUUCAGUUCCAAAACGUGGUUAUUUGCUCCUACAAACACCAUAUUUUUGUCCCAAUUACCAAAUAUGCCRAUGUAUUUAUCUGGUAUGCGAAUGGUUGGGAUAGGAUGGGUGGUUGUGAUCGCAACAGGAAUAUCUUCAUUUGUGUUUGCUAAAAGACAUAUCGACAGAAAACGCCUUGAAAAACUGAAAGCWGAAGCGAAAAAGAUUAAAGAACAAGGGAACUAAUGUCAGGAGUAGUAGCCUCGGUCAGCCUACUAGUACUUUGCUCUGUUACCUUGAACAAUGACCUGUACAGACUUUAUAAUAGUUUGACUAUUAUUACCAGUGCACAAGAACUACGAAAACUUGCCAUUGAUUGAGUUUAUGAAUACUGAAUAACUUGCGAAGUACAAAAUGUCUAAAAAUUGAAUUGAAGUACAUACUUGCUUUGUAGCCCACUUCAAAAUAUCAAUGUUUUAAUUGAUAAUAAUAACAGAUGUGUUCUCAGAUGUGUAUAACAUCAAUUGAUCAAAUUGAUAAUUAUCUUUAUGUCGGCUGUUGUGCUGAUGUUUGGAAGCAUUUAUACAAGACAUAAACAAGAAGUGACAACAAAAAGACAGSGAAGAGAUCAAGAACAAGAAAACUGUCAUUUCACAGAAACCUGAUGAUGUAGAGGCAGUUUAUUUUAGAAACAGUCACCAAUAAUGAAAAUGUCAAAUGAAUUUGACAGAGAAACAAUUAGUUCACCAGACACUACCUAAUGGCUCAAAUAUUACAUAAUGUUUGGGUCUAUUUCUCAUGAUCUAAUGAGUAGCAAUGAAAAUCCAUGCACAGUAGUGUUAUAGUUUGUUGUAUCAGAUUGCUACCCUAUUCAAAAAGAAUAGGUCACAUUUAGAAACUUUACUUUUACAUUUUCUGACAAAUGUCUGGACCCACCUGUACGUCAUGGAUUUUGUUGGAUUAGAGAAUAUGUUUGCCUGAUAGCAAAAAGCGACAAUUAUACAURGACAGUGUUGACAAAUGAUCAUAUAGAGUAAUUAACACUACAUGACAGACACAUGUUUGUUUUAAUUGAGUCUUCAUAUAAUAAUUAUUAUAACAAUAUUUACUAAAUGAUAAUUACAUUUUCGAUUAUCAAUUAAUUCUGUAAAAUCACCCUGCCUAGAUACGCAUGUUUCAAGGUUCCACUAAGAGGAACUCAAUUAACAUAAUUCAGGGUUACCAUAACUCAAAGGUCAUUUUCCAUUUUCUGGAAAGGACAUGCAUCUUUGUAUGAACAGACCUAAAAUAUUAAUGAAAUGCUUGUUUCUGUUG